GAUGAACGCUGGCGGCGUGCCUAACCCAUGCAAGUCGAGCGAAGAGGGGACGGGUGAGUAACACGCGGAUAACCUCCUAUAAGACUGGGUUAACUCCGGGAAACAGGCGCUAAACCGGACACUUUUAGCUGGAUUUGCGCUGCAUUAGCUAGUUGGUAAGGUAACGGCUUACUAAGGCAACGAUGCAUAGCCGACCUGAGAGGUUGAUGGGCCACCCUGGAACUGAGACACGGUCCAGACUCCAACGGGAGCCAGCGGUAGGGAAACUUCCGCAAUGAGCAAAGGCCUGACGGGGCAACGCGGCGUGAGUAAUGAAGGUCUUCGGAUCGUAAAACUCUGUUAUUAGGAAAGCGGUACCUGAUCAGAAAGCCACGGCUAACUACGUGCCAGCAGCCGCGGUAAUAC
rnacentral:rRNA from 1 species